rnacentral:rRNA from 1 species
UGGGGAAUAUUGGGCAAUGGGCGCAAGCCUGACCCAGCAACGCCGCGUGAGGGAAGAAGGCUUUCGGGUUGUAAACCUCUGUCCUUGGUGACGAAAAAAAUGACGGUAGCCAAGGAGGCAGCCCCGGCUAACUACGUCCCAGCAGCCGCGGUAAUACGCAGGGGGCGAGCGUUGUCCGGAAUUACUGGGCGUAAAGGGUGCGUAGGUGGCCUUUUAAGUUGGAUGUGAAAUACCCGGGCUUAACUUGGGGGGUGCAUCUAAUACUGGAGGGUUAGAGUGCAGGAGAGGAAAGCGGAAUUCCUAGUGUAGCGGUGAAAUGCGUAGAUAUUAGGAGGAACACCAGUGGCGAAGGCGGCUUUCUGGAGUGUAACUGACACAGAGGCACGAAAGCGUGGGGAGCAAACU